ACCCGUCUUGAAGCACGGACCAAGGAGUCUAGCAUGUGUGCGAGUCAUUGGGCUUUUACGAAACCCAAAGGCGUAAUGAGAGUGACAUUUGGCUGAUCCCUAGGGCGGUUCUCGCCAGCGGGGCGGUAGGUUUACGGCUGCUUACAUUCUCAUCGUAGUCUUCGGAUUCUGCUUUUGUACUCGGGCUGUUUCCUACGUGGGGAGGCUGAUGAGUUAAUUUCUCCGUCAUCCCCCAGCCGCACCACGCUGACCGAGGCCGUCUGCACUCCGCACAAGGAGGGGGCGCAAGCCAGGGACUUGUCAACAUGACUUAAGCGGUGCAGUACUGCUCUGCUGCCUCUUCUCCGCCCUUCUUCCACCUCCACCUCAGCCUGUAAAAGGGCUGUUGUUGUUGCUGUGGUGUUGGGCGUCGAGGAUCGAGUUGUUAAUGCGGGCUGCUGUUUUCCACCGUGGUAGUCGACAAGUACCAUGAGCACACACGCUAGGACCCGAAAGAUGGUGAACUAUGCCUGGCCAGGAUGAAGCCAGAGGAAACUCUGGUGGAGGUCCGAAGCGGUUCUGACGUGCAAAUCGAUCGCCAGAGCUGGGUAUAGGGGCGAAAGACCAAUCGAACCAUCUAGUAGCUGGUUCCCCCCGAAGUUUCCCUCAGGAUAGCUGGUAUUCAUCAAUGAGUUUCAUCCUGUAAAGAGAAUGAUUGGAGGUCUUGGGGGUGCAAUGCCCUCAACCUACUCUCAAACUUUAAAUGGGUGAGAUGCUGAGCUUUCUUAAUUGAA
rnacentral:rRNA from 1 species